CCUACGGGAGGCAGCAGUGAGGAAUAUUGGUCAAUGGACGAGAGUCUGAACCAGCCAAGUAGCGUGAAGGAUGACUGCCCUAUGGGUUGUAAACUUCUUUUAUAUGGGAAUAAAAUGUUCCACGUGUGGGAUUUUGUAUGUACCAUAUGAAUAAGGAUCGGCUAACUCCGUGCCAGCAGCCGCGGUAAUACGGAGGAUCCGAGCGUUAUCCGGAUUUAUUGGGUUUAAAGGGAGCGUAGGUGGAUUGUUAAGUCAGUUGUGAAAGUUUGCGGCUCAACCGUAAAAUUGCAGUUGAAACUGGCAGUCUUGAGUACAGUAGAGGUGGGCGGAAUGCGUGGUGUAGCGGUGAAAUGCUUAGAUAUCACGAAGAACUCCGAUUGCGAAGGCAGUUCACUGGACUGCAACUGACACUGAGGCUCGAAAGUGUGGGUAUCAAACAGGUUUAGAUACCCCAGUAGUC
rnacentral:rRNA from 1 species